rnacentral:rRNA from 1 species
CCGUCAAUUCAUUUGAGUUUCAGCCUUGCGACCGUACUCCCCAGGCGGGAUACUUAACGCGUUAGCUUCGACCAAGCAAAAUCAUGCAAGAUCUAGUAUCCAUCGUUUACAGCUAGGACUACCAGGGUAUCUAAUCCUGUUUGCUCCCCUAGCUUUCGAAUAUCAGCGUCAGGACCAGUCCAGAAAGCCGCCUUCGCCUCAGGUGUUCCUCCCGAUAUCUACGCAUUCCACCGCUACACCGGGAAUUCCGCCUUCCUCUCCUGUCCUCAAGUCACGCAGUAUCAAAGGCAAUUCCCCAGUUGAGCCGGGGGAUUUCACCACUGACUUACAUGACCGCCUUAAUUCUCUUUACGCCCAAUAAAUCCGAGUAACGCUUGCCCCCUACGUAUUACCGCGGCUGCUGGCACGUAGUUAGCCGGGGCUUCCUCUGGAAGUUAAGUCAAGCACGGGUGGUGUUGAUACCCGUGCAUUUAAUGCUUCCUGACAGAGGUUUACAAUCCUAGGACCUUCAUCCCUCAAGCGGCGUCGCUGAGUCAGGCUUUCGCCCAUUGCGCAAAAUUCCCCAAUGCUGCCUCCAGUAGGAGU